rnacentral:rRNA from 1 species
GACGAACCUAGCGAACGUUGUUCGGAAUCACUGGGCUUAAAGGGCGAGUAGGCGGGUGAUUAAGUCCGGGGUGAAAUCCUCCAGCUCAACUGGAGAAGUGCCUUGGAUACUGGGUGCCUCGAGGAAGGUAGGGGUGUGUGGAACGUUCAGUGGAGCGGUGAAAUGCAUUGAUAUUGAGCGGAACUCCGGUGGCGAAGGCGGCAAACUGGACCUUUUCUGACGCUGAGGCGCGAAAGCUAGGGGAGCAAACGGG